GUCAUUCAGCCUGAUAUUAUAAGACAUUAAUAGACAACUCGUGAUAAGAUCAAAAGUUGAAAUUAACAAAUGCGUCUGAUACGAUCUUUCUACCUGACUUUAAACCAUACCUUAAAUUAGUGUAUUAGCCGAUUUUGGCCGCUCGGCUGGUUCGAAACCUUGAGUAAAAAGAGAUAAAAAUAACCCGAUGUUCCAGACGCUUUCAGCCAUAUGGGUAGCAGCACUCCAAGGUAUGCAGACGCAUUAACUAAAGGUCUUCUAAAUUGAAUGUAUCACUACUAGGUUUUGUGAAGCAUCUCGAGCGCUUCCACCUUGUUAUUUAUUCCAAGGGCUAACGACAAGUAUGAGAAAUGGUAUUAGGGUCGUGGGAAAUGGAGGGCUUGAUGCAUUUUCCACAUUUCAAAAAAAAUUCAAAGGAAACGACGCGGCCUCAUAAAACAUGCUCACGCAGGGACAUUUGUUACCAUUUUUGCAAUGAAUUGUUGCAGCGGUUCAAUGCCAACAAAGGCAUUAAUAUGCGCAGGAGUUAUUAAUAUUCAUUGUGGCAAUUAUUUGCAAUAAAGUAGUUCCUGACACGCA